rnacentral:rRNA from 1 species
CAGCCGCCGCGGUAAUACGAAGGGGGCUAGCGUUGCUCGGAAUGACUGGGCGUAAAGGGCGCGUAGGCGGUUCGUACAGUUGGAUGUGAAAUUCCUGGGCUUGACCUGGGGACUGCGCUUAAUACAGGCAGUCUAGAGUGAGGAAGAGGGUUGUGGAAUUCCCAGUGUAGAGGUGAAAUUCGUAGAUAUUCGGAAGAACACCAGUGGCGAAGGCGGCUCACUGGCUCAUUCUAGACGCUGAGGUGCGAAAGCGUGGGGAGCAAACAGGAUUAGAUACCCCUGUAGUCCCUGUCUCUUAUAC